GACGAACGCUGGCGGCGUGCCUAAUACAUGCAAGUCGAGCGGACUGAAUGGGAGCUUGCUCUUGUUCGGUCAGCGGCGGACGGGUGAGUAACACGUGGGCAACCUGCCCGCAAGACCGGGAUAACUCCGGGAAACCGGAGCUAAUACCGGAUAACACCGAAGACCGCAUGGUCUUUGGUUGAAAGGCGGCGCAAGCUGCCACUUGCGGCUGGGCCCGCGGCGCAUUAGCUAGUUGGUGAGGUAACGGCUCACCAAGGCGACGAUGCGUAGCCGGCCUGAGAAGGAGGCCGGCCACACUGGGACUGAGACAAGGCCCAGACUCCUACGGGAGGCAGCAGGAGGGAAUCUUCCGCAAUGGGCGAAAGCCUGACGGAGCGACGCAGGGUGAGCGAAGAAGGGCUUCGGGUCGUAAAGCUCUGUUGUGAGGGACGAAGGAGCGCCGUUUGAAGAAGGCGGCGCGGUGACGGUACCUCACGAGGAAGCCCCGGCUAACUACGUG
rnacentral:rRNA from 1 species